rnacentral:rRNA from 1 species
CCUACGGGAGGCUGCAGUAGGGAAUCUUCCACAAUGGGCGAAAGCCUGAUGGAGCAACGCCGCGUGGGUGAAGAAGGUCUUCGGAUCGUAAAACCCUGUUGUUAGAGAAGAAAGUGCGUGAGAGUAACUGUUCACGUUUCGACGGUAUCUAACCAGAAAGCCACGGCCAACUACGUGCCAGCAGCCGCGGUAAUACGUAGGUGGCAAGCGUUAUCUGGAUUUAUUUGGCGUAAAGGGAACGCAGGCGGUCUUUUAAGUCUGAUGUGAAAGCGUUCGGCUUAACCGGAGUAGUGCAUUGGAUACUGGGAGACUUGAGUGCAGAAGAGGAGAGUGGAACUCCAGGUGUAGCGGUGAAAUGCGUAGAUAUAUGGAAGAACACCAGUGGCGAAAGCGGCUCUCUGGUCUGUAACUGACGCUGAGGUUCGAAAGCGUGGGUAGCAAACAGGAUUAGAUACCCGGGUAGUC